rnacentral:rRNA from 1 species
UAGGGAAUCUUCGGCAAUGGACGAAAGUCUGACCGAGCAACGCCGCGUGAGUGAAGAAGGUUUUCGGAUCGUAAAACUCUGUUGUUAGAGAAGAACAAGGACGUUAGUAACUGAACGUCCCCUGACGGUAUCUAACCAGAAAGCCACGGCUAACUACGUGCCAGCAGCCGCGGUAAUACGUAGGUGGCAAGCGUUGUCCGGAUUUAUUGGGCGUAAAGCGAGCGCAGGCGGUUUCUUAAGUCUGAUGUGAAAGCCCCCGGCUCAACCGGGGAGGGUCAUUGGAAACUGGGAGACUUGAGUGCAAAAGAGGAGAGUGGAAUUCCAUGUGUAGCGGUGAAAUGCGUAGAUAUAUGGAGGAACACCAGUGGCGAAGGCGGCUCUCUGGUCUGUAACUGACGCUGAGGCUCGAAAGCGUGGGGAGCAAACAGG